rnacentral:rRNA from 1 species
GAAGACAGCCCUAUGGGUCGUAAACUGCUUUUAUACAGGAAGAAUAAGGGGCACGUGUGCCCUGGUGACGGUACUGUAAGAAUAAGGACCGGCUAACUCCGUGCCAGCAGCCGCGGUAAUACGGAGGGUCCAAGCGUUAUCCGGAAUUAUUGGGUUUAAAGGGUCCGCAGGCGGGCAAUUAAGUCAGAGGUGAAAGGCUGCGGCUUAACCGUAGCACUGCCUUUGAUACUGGUUGUCUUGAAUUACGGUGAAGUGGCCGGAAUAUGUAGUGUAGCGGUGAAAUGCAUAGAUAUUACAUAGAACACCGAUCGCGAAGGCAGGUCACUAACCGUAUAUUGACGCUGAUGGACGAAAGCGUGGGGAGCGAACGGGAUUAGAUACCCCGGUAGUCCACGCCGUAAACGAUGGAUACUAGCUGUCGGAUCUUCGGAUUCGGCGGCCAAGCGAAAGUGAUAAGUAUCCCACCUGGGGAGUACGUUCGCAAGAAUGAAACUCAAAGGAAUUGACGGGGGCCCGCACAAGCGGUGGAGCAUGUGGUUUAAUUCGAUGAUACGCGAGGAACCUUACCAGGGCUUAAAUGCAUUACGACAGGGGUAGAGAUACCCUUUUCUUCGGACGUUUUGCAAGGUGCUGCAUGGUUGUCGUCAGCUCGUGCCGUGAGGUGUCAGGUUAAGUCCUAUAACGAGCGCAACCCUUGCCGUCAGUUGCCAGCAAGUAAUG